rnacentral:rRNA from 1 species
AUUGAACGCUGGCGGCAGGCCUAACACAUGCAAGUCGAGCGAGCGGCGGACGGGUGAGUAAUGUCUGGGGAAUGCCAGAUAGAGGGGGAUAACUAAUGGAAACGGUGGCUAAUACCGCAUAAUAUCAGAUAACCCAUAUGGGAUUAGCUAGUAGGUGGGGUACAGUCUAAACUAGGCGCCGAUCUCUUGCUGGUCUGAGAGGAUGGUCAGCCACACUGGGACUGUAACACGUCCCCUACUCCUACGUGGGCAGCAGUGGGGAAUAUUGCACACUGGGCGCAAGCCGGAUGCAGCCAUGCGGCGGGUAUGAAGAAGGCCUUAGGGUUUUAAAGUACUUUCAGCGGGGAGGCGUUACCCGCAGAAGAAGCACCGGCGAACUCCGUGCCAGCCGCCGCGGUAAUAC